rnacentral:rRNA from 1 species
GUAGGUGGCAAGCGUUAUCCGGAAUUAUUGGGCGUAAAGCGCGCGCAGGUGGUUCUUUAAGUCUGAUGUGAAAGCCCCCGGCUCAACCGGGGAGGGUCAUUGGAAACUGGGGAACUUGAGUGCAGGAGAGGAAAGUGGAAUUCCACGUGUAGCGGUGAAAUGCGUAGAUAUGUGGAGGAACACCAGUGGCGAAGGCGACUUUCUGGCCUGUAACUGACACUGAGGCGCGAAAGCGUGGGGAGCAAACAGGGAUUAGAUACCCUGGUAGUCCACGCCGUAAACGAUGAGUGCUAAGUGUUGGGGGGGUUUCCCGCCCCUCAGUGCUGCAGCUAACGCAUUAAGCACUCCGCCUGGGGAGCACGGUCGCAAGACUG